GAUGAACGCUGGCGGCGUGCCUAAUACAUGCAAGUCGAACGAACGGACGCGAAGCUUGCUGCUCUGAUUUUAGCGGCGGACGGGUGUGUAACACGUGGAUCACCUACCUAUAAGACUGGGAUAACUGCGGAAAACCGGAUCUAAUACCGGAUAAUAUUUUGAACCGCAGGGGUCAGAGGUGAAAGACGGUCUUGCUGGCACUUAUAGAUGGAUCCGCGCUGCAUUAGCUGGUUGGUAAGGUAACGGCGUACCAAGGCAACGAUGCAUAGCCGACCUGAGAGGGUGAUCGGCCACACUGGAACUCAGGCACUGUCCAGCCGCCUACGGGAGGACGCGGGAGGGAAGCGGGGGAAAUUGGAGAAAGCGUGACGGAGCAACGCCGCGUGAGUGAGGAAGGGCUUCCGGUCUUAAAACUCUGUUAUUAGGGAAGAACAGAUGUGGAAGUAACUUUGCAGUUGUUGACGGUACCUAAAUAGAAAGCCACGGCUAACUACGUG
rnacentral:rRNA from 1 species